UCCUAAAUCCUUUAACGAGGAUCUAUUGGAGGGCAAGUCUGGUGCCAGCAGCCGCGGUAAUUCCAGCUCCAAUAGCGUAUAUUAAAGUUGUUGCGGUUAAAAAGCUCGUAGUUGGUUCUGCGUGCCACGCUGUCGGUUCACCGCCUGUCGGUGCAACUGGCAUGCCGUGGCAUGUCCUGUCGGUGGCGUACAGGCUUCGCGGCGCUCCCUGCAUGAUACGUUGUGUAGGUCGUCGAGUUGUUCUCGUACGCCGGCUCAAUCCUGCCGCGGUGCUCUUUACCGAGUGUCGAGGUAGGCCGGCACAUUUUACUUUGAACAAAUUAGAGUGCUUAAAGCAGGCUCUUAAAUCAGCCUGAAUAGUGGUGCAUGGAAUAAUGGAACAGGACCUUGGUUCUAUUUUGUUGGUUUUAGGAAUCCAAGGUAAUGAUCAAUAAGGACAGGCGGGGGCAUUCGUAUUGCGACGUUAGAGGUGAAAUUCUUGGAUC
rnacentral:rRNA from 1 species